CGCGAAUUCGCCCUUCGGGGUGCCCAGGCGCGAAAACUUUACACUGCACGAAAGUGUGAUAAGGGAACCCAGAGUGCUUAUGUUUUACAUAGGCUUUUGCCAAGAGUAAAUAUCUUGGAGAAUAAGUAGUGGGUAAGACUGGUGCCAGCAGCCGCGGUAACCCCAUCGCUACAAGUGGUGAUCACUUUUAUUGGGCUUAAAGCGUUCGUAGCCGGAUAAAUAAAUUCUUUGUGAAAUCAGUAAGCUCAACUUAUUGGCGUGCAGAGAACACUGUUUAUCUUGGAACCGGGAGAAGUAUGGAGUAUUUCUUGGGGAGCGGUAAAAUGUUAUAAUCCAAGAAGGACUACCGGUGGCGAAGGCGCCAUACUAGAACGGAUUCGACGGUGAGGAACGAAAGCCAGGGGAGCAAAACGGAUUAGAUACCCGAGUAGUCCUGGCAGUAAACUCUGUGAACUAGGUGUUGCAUUUUCUUAGUGGAAGUGCAGUGUCGGAGCGAAAGUGUUAAGUUCACCGCCUGGGAAGUACGGUCGCAAGGCUGAAACUUAAAGGAAUUGGCGGGGGAGCAC
rnacentral:rRNA from 1 species